CUUGCCUUGCAGGAGGUUGUCUGAUAAGGGAUAGAGUUAAAAAGUGAGCAGGCCCUGGGCAUCUGAAACUGAGUACCAAGUGGAGACUGGAUAUCCUGAAGUCGAACUUCUCCAAUUCCACAAAUUGGCCUGAGAGGACUCUGUGCUCUCAGGAUGGGGAGUCAGAUGAAAGGAGUCGCACUUGUGAAACCUGCCUGCCAGCCAGCAGCAACUGCAUUGAGGAUCACAAGAAGAUGGGCAACAACGGAGAUGGGCAGGAAAAAAAAGAAGAAAGAAGGCUGCUGACACAUUUUUCCUUUCUCAGCUAAGGUGCUUAGCACCAAUAUUGUGAAACUAAAGAAGUUUGCAAAACUGUGUAAACCUCGAGAGUGCUGCUCCUCCAGCAGAGGAACGUGGAGCCAUGCAA